rnacentral:rRNA from 1 species
GCGGAGGGACAUUACAGAGUUGCAAAACUCCCAAAACCAUUGUGAACCUACCUUCUACCGUUGCUUCGGCGGGCGGGCCCCAGCGCCCCCCCGGCCCCCCCGCGGGCGCCCGCCGGAGGAUACCCAAACCAUUGGUAUUCCGUGGCCUCUCUGAGUCUUCUGUACUGAAUAAGUCAAAACUUUCAACAACGGAUCUCUUGGUUCUGGCAUCGAUGAAGAACGCAGCGAAAUGCGAUAAGUAAUGUGAAUUGCAGAAUUCAGUGAAUCAUCGAAUCUUUGAACGCACAUUGCGCCCGCCAGCAUUCUGGCGGGCAUGCCUGUUCGAGCGUCAUUUCAACCAUCAAGCCCCCCGGGGCUUGUGUUGGGGACCUGCGGCUGCCCGCAGGCCCUGAAAAACAGUGGCGGGCUCGCUGUCACACCGAGCGUAGUAGCAUCAUCUCGCUCAGGGCGUGCUGCGGGUUCCGGCCGUUAAAGCGGCCUUUCAAACCCAAGGUUGACCUCGGAUCAGGUAGGAAGACCCGCUGAACUUAAGCAUAUCAAAA